UGGCUUCCCCAUAUAAAAGACGAGAAAAGAGGGAUCGUUUCUUUCUAAAAAGAUGGGGAUCCUGGCCUUUGGGGUGGCGGGAGAAGACAUCCCCACCCCACCUGCAAGUCCAACACGACCGGAGAUAAAUUGACAAUCUCCAGCUAGCUACGGUCACGGCGCAACAGAAAAUGCCCGGGGCCCCCGCGGCCUGCCUCACUGCAGCUGACUCCCUCUGGGCUGCCUGCCGCUGCCCGGACCCGCAGCACCUAACACCAGCCCCCAGGUCCUGCACGAAAAGCCUCAGCGAAGCAGCGGCCAUCUUGUGACCCGGCUGCAGCGACCCAGCGGUAGCUCCGUGGAGGCACGAACCUCCUGUCAACCUCACCCUGGGACCACCUUGCCGAGAGCCCUUUUCUUAACAGUUACUAUGGUGGCCCAUAAGUCAUUUGUGGUUGUACACAUUUAAGUUAAAUAGAAGUAAACAUUUGAAUAUUCAGUUA